CCUGCGACAGACAAGGUGAUUACUGUUUUUGAAGACAUGUUGGAUAAAUGGAAAAAAAAAUAAGAUCUGGGAAUCGUCUAAGCUGCUUUAAGAAGUGGCUGUGAAAGUUAAAAUGUUGGCAUCUGGCAGUGACCUUGCGUUGGAGCACCUGGAUGCUGAAGACUCCUGUUCCAGAGAACCUGAACAUACAGUUUAUUGCAAGGCAUUGGUGGAAAAUCUUGACACUCUGUCAAGUGCCAAGUUCAACACAAAAGUUUCAAAGGCUGUGGCCGAGAUGGUAGCGAGAAGGUUUUGUAGCGUUACCUCUGUUUUGGUUCAGACUUCCCAUUCAUUUAGUGGCACUCCCAGCUUAAUGAAUACGUCUGGCCCAUCUGACAGGAUCCUUGAUUUCCGUGGCCAUUGGGCUCAUACAGACAGAUGUGGAUUUGGAGGGGUCGAAAAGAAUUGACGACUUUGUUGUUGAUGUCAAAGAUCUUGUGAAGGAAGCUGAAUUAGAUAAGCCAACAAGCACCCAGAGAGAUCCCCAAAUGGCACGUUGCAUGUCAAAGCAAAGAACUAUUUCAAACUAGAAAAACAAGCCAAAGCAACAAUGGCUCAAGGCAAAGCAAUCCUCAGCCAUAUUCUGAUUUCCAAAAGAAAAAUGUUGACCAAACGGUGACUGCAGGAGAGCUUUCACAAAUAGGGAAUGUGGUUGGAAUUAUGCUGGAGGACAUUGAGAAGGUAAGCAGUGGAUGUGGUGAGGACCUGAAAUCCAUUUCUCUUUUCCAAGGUCAUCAGCCAAAUUAUGGAAAAGAGUGAAUUUGCUCUCCCUGGCACUCCCAUCCCUUCUGAAUAACCAGAGAGGACUGCUCCACCCAUUGUGAGAUGUCCAGUCAUCGACAUGAGCGGAUCCACUAAGCCAGAAACAUUGGUGUGUGAUGCCAGGAAAUCCAUGUCUGCUAUAACAUAUACCAUGAUAAAGGAGGAAUAUCCAGAGGGAGAAGGGCAGGUUACUGUGAUCUGACAGCUUGGCUAGCUAGACUGGAGGAGGUCAUAUAUCAGAGUAGGAUUGGUGCUCUCUCCCAUGAUCUUACUCACCAAGUCAACGUCAUCGGUGACAGUGGCGGCUGGAACGAUUGCAUCCGAUACAGUUCUUACUAAGCUGAAGAGAAAGGACAAGAAGGUUGGGAAUCCAACAGCUUAUGAGCUUGUUCAGCUGUUUGCAGAGGAGUCAGUGAAGCGUCUCCUCCAUCCUAGUCUUGUGCUUUCUUUAGCAUCAAUGAGUUUGGCUCAGGGAGUCAGUGUGUCGGCUAGCACGUCCGAAGAUAGAAGCAGGAAAUCCUCUUCUUCAUCAGUAUUCAGUGAGUGGCACAGUCAGUCUGUUUAACAAAGUUAUGGUAAGCUAGGUCAUGGACUUUCUGAUGCCCAAAGCAGAGUGUCAUCUUCAACCGAGGGACCAGAAUCCCUCCAAGUAUCUUUGUCCACUGUCACUGACCUAGGCAGUUUAAUGAGUGGCAAGUCCUCCCCCUCGGCCAUCUCUCUCCUGUGUCGGUGUGGCAAUAAGUGAGCCCUCGAAAGUAGUCCGAGGCUUUGAAGCCAACAUGGAUGGAGAGAAAGAAGAUAACACACUGGUGUAGCUCAGAAAAUCGUCAGUGAUCAGAUGUCGAUGGUCCCAGAUGUGGUCAAAUAUGCCUCGCCGCCAUCCCAAUCCUCUGACAACUCAGCCAUUGAUGAUGCCUUUUACCGGCCUCGUCAACACGCUAGGGGUGAGGCUUCUGUACAAAAUCCAAAACCCCAGUUGAUGUCGCACGCACAUCACAAGACCUGAUCCCGAUGGUAAUGGCUGUCUUCUGUGCAAUGUCAGGCUCCUCUGAGACCCAAGCUUAUCCAGAGAGCCUGAGGAUUCAUAAAGAGUACAAACAUCUGUUGGAGGAGUUUAGCUCAGAGAAAAUCCUCCAACUGGCUGUGUCGACACACGACCAUACCUUUGAUAGGAUUCUUGUCAAGUCCUUAAUGUAAUAAGGCCCGCCUCAAGAAUAUUGUUUGAAGCCACCAGAUCUAAAGUGCUUCCUCUGGCUGAGGAUGCGAAGGCUAGCAAAGUGAAGUUCUCCUUCCUACAACGGCUUGUCAAAAUUGUGAGUAAAUAACUCAAUUGCGAGUGUCCCAAAUCUAAAACCAUCCAUUAAUUUAGGAAUCUUUCUGGUGUGUUAGAUUUGGUUAUUAUUGUUAUGUUGUUUUUUCUCUUCCAACACUUAAUCCUCAAAGAAGAGGAACAAUAAGGAUUCACACCUCUCAGAGUCCGAAGACCAGACUACUGCUGAGAGUAGCCUUGUGCCCAGCAUAGUUCCACAUGCUGCCACAUCUGCACUUCCAGAGGAUCUUCCCUCCACGUCUCAACAGGAGAAAGCAAGCAUACCCUUGUCAAGAUGUUUUCGGCGAUCUCCAAAAGGCCUGUCCAGGCCCUUCAAGCGCUUCUCAAAGAGAAAAUAAACCAACCAACUUAUUGGCUAAUUGAUUAAAUAUCAUUGCAUGAAUUGAUGGCCUUUCUGACUUCUUGUGGGGGUCAUGUGUUAAAUCAGAUUAGAAAAUAACUUUUUUUAAAUGUUAGUCUAGUAAUUAGUGAUUACCACUUAACAGGGAUUAAUGCAGGUUGAGGACAAGCGUGGAGUGCCACACUAAGUUUAAUCAUAACAUAGUCAUAGCCAUAACUAUAUCACCAUCUACACAACCAGACCAUUACUAAACAGAGUAGUGCUGUCCAUGAGUGUUGAUUCUAGAUGACACACACACAUACGGAGGCAGGUAGCCUAGCGGUUACGCGUGUUGGGCCAGUAACCAAAAGGUUGCUGGUUUGAAUCCCAGAGCAGACUAGGUGACAAAUAAGCCAAUGUGCCCUUGAGCAAGGCAUUUAACCGUAAUUUCUCUUGUAAGUCGCUCUCAAUAAGUGGGUCUGCUAAACUGUAACGCACACAUUAAAUACUUUAUUUGAAUCCACCAAUCGAAUGUACAUUUAAAAAAAGCAUACAAACAUUUCAAAGGUGCCUGUAUGCAAGUCACUGAAGGGUACAGGGGGCACAGAAAUAAUCUCCUUCUUCUGCCUACGACAGCUGAAACAGAGGAGUACCCAGCCGCCAACAGCUUUGGCUAGUUUUUGCCAGGCCCACAAGCCUGUGCACGUGGCAGAGACCGCCAAAUAUCAGUGCCACCAGCUUGCACCUCCACCCAGGCUGUCCAAGCACGAGGGGCUGGUAUUUAAGAAACUAGCCAUCAAAUGAGCAGCCCACUUCCAAAAUGAGCUGUCGUUGUGAGGAACUAUGGUUUUAUCAGACAUUUGUUCUGUUUUGUCCUGUGAUGUGAGUGAUCUGUUUUCUCUCACACACACACACACACACACUAAAUACUUCAGAUACUUCCUACCUCAGUCUAAAAUAACUGAUGCAAUAUUAACUACAGGCCUACUUAGUUCAUAUGUAAUGCAUUAAUAAAGGAUGCAGGACACUCAGUGACAAGGAAAUCAACAGUUUAUUUUGUUUUUUAAUCAUUGUAGAGAAUUUGGUGCCAUAAUACAUAUCAUACCUGUAUAUAUCCAGUAGGGGGCAACAUAUACAGUACACACGACACAGGACCACUACAUUCUAUCAUCAGCCACUCAUAGGAAUAUAGUUCUAUUUAAGAUUUUUCAAGGGGUGCUGUGGCACCCUCAGCAUCCCUACUUCCCUCAGUUAUGGACAUAGGACCAAAUGAUAAUGUACUACCAAAACUAUAAAUGCGAUUGAACAUACUCGGGCUUAGGGCUAUCAAAAACCAUGAAGACAUAACGGAUAUAGGCCUACAUGAUAUAAUUGCCCAAAUUGUAGUGGGUAGAGAAUGAUAGAGCAACCAAUGAUGACCUGUGACGGAGGCAUCAUUGACGAUAUGCUGGCGCCAAAACACAUCGUGAGAUUCAAUCACGAUGUAUGCCGUUGUCCGGAUGGAGGGCGUAUGUUUUCACAUUUUAGGGGCGAGGCACUCCCACACUUGCAUCUUCCCUCCGGAACGACAUCUCUCACGUUGCGCAGAAUAGUUCCUGGCGCCAUCAGAGGUGUGAAGACUGAUCAAACUUGAGUUGACAUAUGAAAUGUAACUGUAUGAAUUGAAUUGUGAGGUUUGUAAUCUCAUUAGCGAAUAAAGAGCUGAACAUUUU